rnacentral:lncRNA from 12 species
GUCCUCUUGGCCCUCAGGAGCUCCUGUCAGCUCUGGGGGCCCCUUUUGCGGGGCUCCUGGGCAGGUGCUGUCGGCUGUGCAUGCACUUCCAGCCCAGAGCACCUGCCGCCUGUCCGGGGAUCCCCAGAAUAGCAGAGCACACAGGACAGAGUGCAGAGGAGUGGGGCUGACAGCCUCCGAGUGGGGCCCCCAUGUGUACUUCCCACAAAUGUGAGUCAGCGCGUCAUCCAGCAGGGCUCCUUCCCCUGCAGCUGCCUCCAGCUCAGCUUUACUGUUUCCCUCACAGCCAUUUAGAACAAUUUCCCCUGCUUCUGUGCAGCCCUCUACUCAGAGUGCAGUGAGGGCGAAAGCUUGGUUAACCACAGAAUGCAGCCGUAGAACACUGUCCCUCCCGCGUCAGAACGCACAGCCUGUUGUCCUGCCAUAGAUCUCCUCUCCUCCUCCUGCCGUGGCUCCUACCUUCCCGCUCUGGUUCCCUGUGCCAACCACUCAAGGGCCCUCCUGGCAGGGGAACCAUGUGUCCUUCAUCCUGUAUCUGCCUCGUGGUGCUGAGCCUGGCAUCCUCUGGGAUCAUCCGAGCUGUUACAUGGGAUGAAUGGAUAAAAAUAUACUCAUUAAUGAAGAAAUAUUCCUUGGAAGCCUGGGGGUGCUACUGCUUUUAGCAGAAAUGAAAAAACAAGAAUCCCAAAUUCCAAAAUGCUCAACAAGUGAAAGACAGUGGACCGAGCCUGCAUUCAGCAUCAUCAGACCCAGAUCCCAUGAGCCCAGAGGCACCGUACCCCAGAUUUGCAGUGGCUCUCACUCCGCGUUUGGCUGAAUGUAGCAGGGCCACAUGGACGGAUGGCAAGGGGGAAGCAACCGAAUUAUGCUGCUGCUGCAAAAUCACUUCAUGAGCUACACAACCUGCUCCUAAUUUAUUUUCCUGUCGCCUGUCCUUGCAGACCAGACGCUCAAAGCUAAAGUUGUUUUUAUUAAAGUUAAGGCUUUGUUAGAACACCUGUCGUGGUCAGUGUGGGGCUUUCCCCUUGGGCACGAAGGCUCACCUCCCUCAGAGGGAAGCCUCAGAGUGGCUGUGCCUGCAUUUGCAGACUCAGUUUCUCCAGACUCCAAGCCCCCAUAUAGGAUUGAGUCUGCCUGGCUUAUUUUGAAUGCCCAACGUCAAGUCCGCGUGAAGCCCCGAAGACCCAGUGAUGGAGGACCUUGUCUGACUCUUUUUGCCUCAAACACUCUCAUGCAUCGUUACAUGAGUGUGCCUGCUGUGCCCUUAACAACCUCAGCCGGUAUUUCCUUGGUUCAUCCUCUCAGCUCACAGGUAUUGCUCUGCACCUAAGACCCAAUUUUUUUUUUUUUUUUUUUUUUUUACAAACUAUGCCUUUGGGUGUAUUCCCCGUUUUCUAAUAUGCCAGCCUUUUCAAAGUUGAAUAUGAUUGCUAAGAAAAUAAUAUGCUCUAGAAGUUAUUUAGUAAAAUAUUUGAUGUUAGCCGAAGUCACUGGUGAGAUGUAUGCUAGAAAAGCCCUUCUACGUGAUGCCCAUCAUGAGCUGCGAUAAUGUUCCUGGUUGUUACUUAUCACAGACUAGGAAAUAGUAGUUCUCAGGAAGAGGGAAAUUAAAUUACAUUAUAGACAAUGCGCCCAGAAAGCCGUGGAUGGGUCCAGCCAAAUCCUUUCCUGUUCUAAGGAGGCAUUGUCUGGGCCGGGGUGCAGCUGGAAGGUGGCCCAAGUCCAAAGGCAAAUGACAAUGGUGUCAUUUCCACAGAGAAUAAAAACUGCUAAAAAAAAUAUAGAAGAAUCA